rnacentral:rRNA from 1 species
AGUAACGCGUGGGAACGUGCCCUUCUCUACGGAAUAGCCUCUGGAAACGGAGAGUAAUACCGUAUACGCCCUUUGGGGGAAAGAUUUAUCGGAGAAGGAUCGGCCCGCGUUAGAUUAGGUAGUUGGUGGGGUAACGGCCUACCAAGCCUACGAUCUUUAGCUGGUUUUAGAGGAUGAUCAGCCACAUUGGGACUGAGACACGGCCCAGACUCCUACGGGAGGCAGCAGUGGGGAAUCUUGCACAAUGGGGGAAACCCUGAUGCAGCGAUGCCGCGUGAGUGAAGAAGGCCCUUGGGUUGUAAAACUCUUUCGUCGGGGAAGAAGAUCUGACGGUACUUGAUGAAUAAGCCACGGCUAAUUCCGUG